rnacentral:lncRNA from 1 species
GCAGUGGAAGAUAUAGAGGAAUCCCGAGUCCACAGCAGCCUUGAAGAUGAGACUCAGCAGGCCACAUGCAUGACCACUAACAGGGAAGGACAGGUGACCAGGAUGAGCUGCAGGGCCCAGAGGCGCACGUGGGACACGGGAAAGAACUCGUCAUAGCAGACGUUGGGGCAGCCGGGCUGCUUGGUGUUGCAGAUGAAAUCCUUCUGCUCGUCAUCCCACACCUCCUCCGCCGCCACCACAUACACCAGCACCCGGAAGAUGAAGACCACCGACAGCCAGAUGCGGCCCAGCGCUGUGGAGUACUUG